rnacentral:lncRNA from 14 species
CGGCCCUUUGGGAACGGUGGAGGGAGAAGGUCCGGCCGAGCCCCUGAAGUAGCAGCACAACAGUCAUCAUUUAUGGCCAAACCGGUAUUGGAAAGACCUGCACAAUUUAAGGGGAGCCUCAGUGAAGAACACGCUUGGGAAGAGGAUUUGCUACCAGUGCUGGAGAAGGAAUGCAGAUGUUUGAUGAUCCCAUAAACAAAUCAGGUGUAAAUGUGAAAGGCUUGGAAGAAAUACACAUCAAAAAUG